ensembl:lncRNA
CCCACUCCCCAGACAGUGCCCUGUGAUCUGCUUGUCUCCUCUCCUGGUUGUGCUGGAGGUUGGAGAGACAUUAAAUGAGCUAAAGGGGCAGAGGGUAAUUCCAUUUGGGAAUAAAGAAGGGGCAGGCAUGUAACCCAAUUUAGCAGGGACAGGGUUAACCUGACCCUGCCCCACAUUAGGGUGGGAAAUUUUCAGUUCAGAGCAGGUAUUUAUUAUUCCACACAGAUGUUUGCAAUGACAUAUGAGCCAGCACUGCUGUUCUUUUGCACAAACCCUGUUGGGCCAGGCGCUGCAUUGGUGCAGAGCAAAAAGCAGCCCUGAAGAGCUCUCAGGCUCACAAGGAGAGGACAUGAAGAACAGUGAGAGCUGGGGAAAAGGCUGCCAUGGCUCAAACCAGAGUCUCCAUCCCAGACUUGCCAGGAUGGAUGGACCCAUCCUCUGCCACCCAGUAUUCCACCUUGCAGGAAGUGGCAUUUCACCAGAUCUAUGGAUGCAGCACUCAGUCCCAAGCAAUCCUGUGGUCUGUGUAGGUGUCUCUUUUUGCAGAGCCUAUGCUGAGCUGUGGCUUUGGAUCCCUGUUGCAGCAGCAGUCCUUGCCUGGGGGGAAACCCUUCUCCCUCUGCCUCUGCUGCAUCUGGAGACAUUGUGAGAACCUUGGAGCACAAAGGCCUUUGGACAGCUCAGCAAUGGAGAAUUUUGUCUCCAAAACUCCUGGUCUGUUUUUGAAAUGUGGCCAUUAUGUGAAUGUGUUUUGAGGGAGGGAAAACUUAUCCAGAACUCAGCACUUCUGGCGGUCUCAGAUGAAGAUGGGUCACUCGAUGAUCCUACCACUGACAACAGCUACUGAACAGUCUGUGUAGCUCAUAGAGGAGGACUUGGCUCAGCCUUUCCUAAAUUUGCCUUGAAUGCAACAUCCAUGCUUGAUCCUAGCUGGAGCUUCCUCUCAUCAAAGGUAAGGCACUCUUCCUCUGGUUGAUGUCUUGCAAUGUAAACUGGAAUGAAAGGAGUAGUCUGUAAUUAGCACAUGCCCCAGGCAGUUUUGGUGUUCCUGAAAUGCAAGGCCUAAAUUGUUCUGCUGCCAUAGGAUUGGUUUGGUGAGUGCUUUAACUCUCUGCAUUUUUACUUGUGUUAGUGGAAGCUGCUCCCUAAGAGUGGUCUGGUAUGGAUCAGGAGUCCAGAUCCACUCCUGUGGACAUCUUCCAGUGAAACCAAAGGUUAAUCCAUCACACGUGUUGCCCAUGAGAUGCACUCCCUGGCAAAGCAACAAAGCCCAGGAGUUUCUGUGUCAUCUCAGCAAAGCUCAGGGGAGAGCGAGGGCGCAGGAGAACUCCCCCACCCUUUUUGAGCAUUUCAGCUGAUGUUGUUAAUUCUAGUGGAGCUGCUGCAAAUAUUUCUGAAAGCAAAUAUUUGGUGUCCCCAUCCAGCAGAAAAUAAGUAGAAGAACCAACCACCUGCCACUCAUUUGGUCACCUCAACAAAACCAGGCUGGGCUGAGAAUCAAUAGCAACGACACUGAGCUUUUGUGGUGAGUUCUCUCAGAACAAGAGCUGUGCUGGGAGAGCAAACAGCACCUGGAGAGCUGGGCAGGGGCUGAAAGGCAGCAGGGAUGGUGGGCAGAGGCUGUUUGUGCUUCAGGGUGGGGCUCUGGCAUGGGCAGGAGGAGGAGGAUGCCUUCCUCAGCCCUGGUAAUGCGGCAGGAGAGUGGGCAGCAGCUCCUCUGUGCCUGCCAGGAGCAAAGCCCUGCAGUGGAACUGCCCCCAGCCCCUCCUGCUCUUGCCUGGGCUGGGGUCACACCACAGGACAAAUGACAGGGUCUGUGUCUGGCAGAGGCAGCAGAUCCAUCACCACUCACACCUCUGCCCCAGCUGGAUUCCCUAAGGAAACCAGUGUCCCUUGCCCUAACUGGGAAGCAGGAGGAUGACACCUUACCCACUCUGCUGGGCCCAAAUACCCGAUGUGAUCUGCAUUUGGGCGCUGGGGUUUUUUUUUUCUUUAUCUCACUUUUUUGUUGUUGUUGUUUUUAGCCUUCUAAAAACAAACUUCAGAUUCGUCAGCUGGAAGUGAUCUCAUCACAUUACAGAUUUACUUUCCUGGGAAACUAAACUCUUGUGGUGUAGUGAUGGAAAAGUCUCACCUUCCCUUUUUUAAUAUUCCUUUAACCGAGGUUCUAUUGAAAUUAGCUUGGCAGGGCAACAGCUCAGAAACAAAGACACAAAAGAAAACCCUUUGUUACUAUUAGGUUUUUUCUUCUAUUUGUUUUCUUACCCAUCUCAUGAUUUUGGGGAGAUGGCAAGUGAUUUUUGAAUCUUUAUUGACACAUAUCCAAAUCUAUAGAGAACAUUUUACUAAUACAGGAGUCUGUUUGUCCCAUAGCCAACAAAAAAAUAGAGGCAAACCCCAGUAAUUAAUUAUUGCAGUGUCUUUUGUAGUUUUCUUUGAGCUGCAACACUGUCUGCUCACUCCUACUCUUUUUUCUGCCUCUUACAAAUCCUUUGCACAAGUGGGAGCCCAGCUCAGCGAACCCAGGGCAGUAUCACUGUACUCAAGUGAGGAUGGGCUUGGCUCCUCUUCAAAGGGAGCUUUUAUCGAGUGUUUAGUGUGAUGUGACAAAGCAGGGACGUGUGCCAUGGACGUGGUGCUUCCAAAUCCCCUCCUUCUACCUUGAUUAAACCCGAGGGCAAUUACCCUUGCCAGGGUGAUGAGCUCUGCCAAUGUGCAUUUUGUUUACAGCCGUGCUCAUUUUUUUACGUUGUUUUUCCAUUUUGCACUAAGACAAAACUCUUCUGCUUUAUGCCACGGAUAAAAUCCGUUUUAAAUACCAAGUUUCUCAUGUUUUGCCCCAGGAGCCAUGGGAUUCAGAAGGUUGUGUUUCAGGCUGGCACAGUUGCUCACAUGUGCAAAGUGAUGCCCAGGCCCCCAGAGAUCUGUAAGGUCUCACUGUCAGUGCAGGGAAGCUUUGGAUGGGGCCAGGAGAAACUAAAAAUAUUUAUUAUGGGACUAUUUUAUUGUGCUAGGAACAAGAAUUUACUGUCUGGUGUGAGUGGGCUUUAGACACUGCUGUAAAUUCCAGAUGAAAAUUUCACAGCAUUUGCCAUCCCAUUUUGCCCUAUUUUAUUUUCUGUGUUUCAUUAUCAUUUCUAGAUUCUGUUUUAUUCUGAAUUCUGAUAAAUUUAGAAAAUCUUAUUUUAAAAAAUAAAUAACCACACCACAUUUUGGCA